UUGUGAUUUACAAUAUAAACUAGAGAAGCUUGGUACGGUGAAGACAAUGACACAAUAAACAGACAUAUUGACAUACCUGUCAUAUAUUCUCAAC